rnacentral:rRNA from 1 species
AGAAUCAACGCUGGCGGCGUGCCUAACACAUGCAAGUCGAACGAGAAAGUGGAGCAAUCCAUGAGUAAAGUGGCGCACGGGUGAGUAACACGUGACUAACCUACCCUUGAGUGGGGGAUAACUGAGGGAAACCUUAGCUAAUACCGCAUAAUACCCACGGGUCAAAGGAGCAAUUCGCUCGAGGAGGGGUCGCGGCCGAUUAGUUAGUUGGCGGGGUAAUGGCCCACCAAGACGAUGAUCGGUA